UACGUAGGGGGCAAGCGUUUGUCCGGAUUUAUUGGGCGUAAAGAGCGUGUAGGCGGCCUGACAGGUCUGCUGUGAAAACUCGAGGCUCAACCUCGAGAUGUCGGCGGAAACCGUCUGGCUAGAGUCCGGAAGAGGAGAGUGGAAUUCCUGGUGUAGCGGUGAAAUGCGCAGAUAUCAGGAAGAACACCCGUGGCGAAGGCGGCUCUCUGGGACGGUACUGACGCUGAGACGCGAAAGCGUGGGGAGCGAACAGG
rnacentral:rRNA from 1 species